AAGUAAUAUCCGCAUUGCGGUGAAACGUGUAAAAAAUAUAACUCAAAAUAAGAAUGUUAUUUAAUAUUAAUAUAAUAUUAAAAUAUAUCGUUUGUAUUUUUAGUUAUAUUUUGUACACGUUUUUCCGCAAUGUGGAUGUGGAUG